UAAUACGAAGGGGGCUAGCGUUGUUCGGAAUUACUGGGCGUAAAGCGCGCGCAGGCGGUCUUCCAAGUCAGUGGUGAAAGCCCGGAGCUCAACUCCGGAACUGCCAUUGAAACUGUGAGACUUGAGUACGAGAGAGGUGAGUGGAAUUCCCAGUGUAGAGGUGAAAUUCGUAGAUAUUGGGAAGAACACCG
rnacentral:rRNA from 1 species